AAGGUUCAGGUGAUGAUUUUAAUGCAUAGUUCAAAUGAUAAUAUGAAUUGUGAUUAUAAAUCUAAUUUUUAGUCUUUCGCUCCUAUCUGAUGACCUUU